AAACUACUGAAUACAAUACAAUAAAUAUUUGCUGAAUUAUUACUGUGUGACUAGUACCUCAGCUAACUAGAGAUGUUCUAUGGUCUACUCCACUAAGGAAGAACAGAAUCUCGUGGUGAUUAUGUGCCUAUGAUUGUAACACAAUGACAAUGGUGAACAUAGGCAGCCAAUGCUCAAAAAGCAGCACGAGUUCUCAGCCUAUAGAAGGGUUGAAGACAGCCAGUACAACGUGCCUAUAUAUCAUCUAGACAAGAAGAGC